rnacentral:rRNA from 1 species
UUAGCAUGGAAUAAUGGAAUAGGACUUGGUUCUUCUUGUUGGUUUGUGGGCCAAAGUAAUGAUUAAUAGGGCCAGUCGGGGGCAUUAGUAUUCAGCAGUCAGAGGUGAAAUUCUUGGAUUUGCUGAAGACUAACUAGUGCGAAAGCAUUUGCCAAGGAUGUUUUCAUUAAUCAAGAACGAAAGUUAGGGGAUCGAAGACGAUCAGAUACCGUCGUAGUCUUAACUAUAAACGAUGCCGACUCGGGAUCGGCAGGCUUCGUUCGCGAACCUGUCGGCACCGUGUGAGAAAUCAAAGUUUUUGGGUUCUGGGGGGAGUAUGGUCGCAAGGCUGAAACUUAAAGGAAUUGACGGAAGAGCACCACCAGGAGUGGAGCCUGCGGCUUAAUUCGACUCAACACGGGAAAACUCACCAGGUCCGGACAUAGUAAGGAUUGACAGAUUGAGAGCUCUUUCUUGAUUCUGUGGGUGGUGGUGCAUGGCCGUUCUUAGUUGGUGGAGUGAUUUGUCUGGUUAAUUCCGAUAACGAACGAGACCUUAACCUGCUAACUAGUGCACAUUACGCGAGUAGUGUGUGACUUCUUAGAGGGACUGACUAUGUUUAAUAGUCGGAAGUUUGAGGCAACAACAGGUCUGUGAUGCCCUUAGAUGUUCUGGGCUGCACGCGCGCUACACUGACAAAGGCAGCGAGUAUACCUUGGCCGAGAGGUCUGGGAAAUCUUGUAAAACUUUGUCGUGCUGGGGAUAGAGCAUUGCAAU